UACAUGUGGGGCAAGCGUUGUUCGGAAUUACUGGGCAUAAAGGGUGCGUAGGCGGCAUGCCAAGUCAGGGGUGAAAGGUUUCGGCCCAACCGGGACAGUGCCUUUGAUACUGGCGUGCUUGAGUGCGUGAGGGGUGACUGGAACGAGUGGUGUAGCGGUGAAAUGCGUAGAUAUCACUCGGAAGGCCAACGGCGAAGGCAGGUCACUGGUACGCAACUGACGCUGAGGCACGAAAGCGUGGGGAG
rnacentral:rRNA from 1 species